AUGAACGCUGACAGAAUGCUUAACACAUGCAAGUCAACUUGAAUUUGGGUUUUUAACUUAGGUUUGGGUGGCGGACGGGUGAGUAACGCGUAAAGAACUUGCCUCACAGCUAGGGACAACAUUUGGAAACGAAUGCUAAUACCUAAUAUUAUGAUAAUAGGGCAUCCUAUAAUUAUGAAAGCUAUAAGCGCUGUGAGAGAGCUUUGCGUCCCAUUAGCUAGUUGGAGAGGUAACGGCUCACCAAGGCGAUGAUGGGUAGCCGGCCUGAGAGGGUGAUCGGCCACAAGGGGACUGAGACACGGCCCUUACUCCUACGGGAGGCAACAGUGGGGAAUAUUGGACAAUGGACCGAGAGUCUGAUCCAGCAAUUCUGUGUGCACGAUGAAGUUUUUCGGAAUGUAAAGUGCUUUCAGUUGGGAAGAAACAAAUGACGGUACCAACAGAAGAAGUGACGGCUAAAUACGUG
rnacentral:rRNA from 1 species